GGCUUCACGCAGCCCCGUCGGAUUCGCUUCGCUGUUGCUAGCUAGCGCUUUCUAGCGCCGUUUAAAAUAGAAUCAAGAAUGUUCCCUGCCGAUUUCCCCAGCAGCGCUUGCUGAGCCGUGCCAGGCACCGCGGCGCCCGUUCCUGCAACCUGCCUCCGUACGGGUACGGCACGUUAAAAGCUUUCUCCUUCCACGCAUAAAUUUUUGCGAGGUGGAGGUGGGGGGAGCAAGCCCAGCCGGCGUUUAUUCUCCCGGCUAACAGCAACUGCCGACCUGAACGAAUUCUGCCAUGGCCGAAAGCAGAGGAUGUUUGCAGCGCAGGGAGCUGAUUUGCUGACUUACCCUUCAUCUCUCGCAGGAACGCCAGGUGGGGAAGCCAGUCUUGCGCUCGGAGAAAGAAGCCCGAGGAGCCCGGCAGCAGCCACUGCGGAGCUUGCUCAGAAGUUCACUCCCUCUGUCACAGUGUAUGCAGUUUGCCAGGGUUGGGAAUUAUAGCAGGUGCCUGAACUAUUAAGGAGUGCAAAGGAAUGGGACACACAGGUAGUGAUCAAGUGCUCGCCUCUGCCAGUACGUCAGAGAGACUGCCCAGACCUGCAAAGGUGCCGCUUUUCAUGUUCACUCUCAAGGCUUCCCAUGUGAGUUUUCAACAUUUGGGCUACAGCUUGGACAGACAUUUUCUCCCUUGAUGCUACCUGGUUUACAUCACAGCACCUGGAUCCAAGACUGAAGAGUUUUAGGUGGAGAUAAGAAUCAGCCAGGAGGAGGAUUUUCCCAAUGCGCUAAAGAAAGAAAUAACGAAGAGGACUGGGGAUUUAAAGCCUCAUGUGCUUUGAAAGAACCCUGUAUCUCCUUUUAACCAGAGAAAUGAAGUUCAACUGCCAGAUGUGUGGACCAGGUAAGCAAGUACCUAAGCAUCUCGCUAUGCCUUUUGCCAAGACCCCACUGUGUUUCACAAACACCACAAGAUUUUGAGGUGGAGUCGAGCACUGUUUUGUAAGAGGAGAGACAAGAGGAUUGCCUGGCAGGUGUCUGAGCAGACCUCUGUUACAGCUCAGCCUAUGCUCUGAUUCCCAGGCCAGAUUUCUGCCACCUUCUCCAGCGAUCAUUAUUGCUCAUUUUGUAUCACUUCUAUGGACUACUCGAAAUUGCAAAUUUGCAAAUUAAUGCCUCAGAGUAGGUGUUAUGCCCCCCAAAAAAGAGAAUGAAGGCUGGUAUCUCUCAGUGUAACUUGCUCCCUAUGUAAACAGCCUUCUACUUUUGGCCCAUGUCUGAGUUCCUCUGGCCCAGAUCCCAGGGAGGUCUCUGAGCCCUGUAGUUUUCUGAGGUUCUGUAACCAGUGGUGGCAGGCUGCCCUUCUGCAGAGUUUCAUGGGGAAAAACACAGCAUAUUGCAUGGGGAGAAACACAGU
rnacentral:lncRNA from 1 species